rnacentral:rRNA from 1 species
GUUGCUGGAGGUAUCAGAAGUGCGAAUGCUGACAUAAGUAACGAUAAAGCGGGUGAAAAGCCCGCUCGCCGGAAGACCAAGGGUUCCUGUCCAACGUUAAUCGGGGCAGGGUGAGUCGACCCCUAAGGCGAGGCCGAAAGGCGUAGUCGAUGGGAAACGGGUUAAUAUUCCCGUACUUGGUGUUACUGCGAAGGGGGGACGGAGAAGGCUAUGUUGGCCGGGCGACGGUUGUCCCGGUUUAAGCGUGUAGGUGUGUGUUCCAGGUAAAUCCGGUUCACUUUAACACUGAGGCGUGACGACGAGGCACUACGGUGCUGAAGCAACAAAUGCCCUGCUUCCAGGAAAAGCCUCUAAGCAUCAGGUAACAUCAAAUCGUACCCCAAACCGACACAGGUGGUCAGGUAGAGAAUACCAAGGCGCUUGAGAGAACUCGGGUGAAGGAACUAGGCAAAAUGGUGCCGUAACU